rnacentral:rRNA from 1 species
UGGGGAAUAUUGCACAAUGGGCGAAAGCCUGAUGCAGCAACGCCGCGUGAGUGAUGAAGGCCUUCGGGUUGUAAAGCUCUGUCUUUUGGGACGAUAAUGACGGUACCAAAGGAGGAAGCCACGGCUAACUACGUGCCAGCAGCCGCGGUAAUACGUAGGUGGCAAGCGUUGUCCGGAUUUACUGGGCGUAAAGGAUGCGUAGGCGGAUUUUUAAGUGAGAUGUGAAAUACCCGGGCUUAACUUGGGUGCUGCAUUUCAAACUGGGAAUCUAGAGUGCGGGAGAGGAGAAUGGAAUUCCUAGUGUGGCGGUGAAAUGCGUAGAGAUUAGGAAGAACACCAGUGGCGAAGGCGAUUCUCUGGACCGUAACUGACGCUGAGGCAUGAAAGCGUGGGUAGCAAACAGGAUUAGAUACCCUGGUAGUCCACGCCGUAAACGAUGAGUACUAGGUGUAGGAGGUAUCGACCCCUUCUGUGCCGCAGUUAACACAAUAAGUACUCCGCCUGGGAAGUACGAUCGCAAGAUUAAAACUCAAAGGAAUUGACGGGGUCAUAGCUG